rnacentral:rRNA from 1 species
GGAAAGCCUAAACCCUGUGAAAUAAGCAUAAUCGGAUACCGUUUAAUUGGCGGAGUGUUGAAUGGACGAACGAGCGCGGGACUGUCUCAGGCUGGUGUGGAUUGAAAUUGACAUGGUAGUGCAGAGGCUGCCACAAACGGUUGGACGAGAAGACCCCGUGAAGCUUUACUCUAAGUACGUAUAAAUCCUUGGUGGGGUGUAAAACUAGGAAGACGUCGUAACCUAGCUAGCAACGCACCUGGUUUGGUAUACACGCACACAGAUGAUUACCAUAUUCACGCUGUAAAUAUAGGGUAAGCUAGUCCUGUGUAUAUAUUAUAUCUAUAACAAUAGGGUAGAAAUGCCUGCUUGGGAGUUUGGGUGGGGUGCCCGCACGUUAUAUAGAAACAUGGUGUAAUCAAUGUUACUCAAACAUUAGACUGUGUAGAAUACAUGCUUACUCAGAGACAGAUGUCGGAAAGGUGACCCACUAGGUUUAAAUACCACACAAAUAAUAUGAAAAAUGGGUCGACAAUGGAUAAAAGUUACUCCGGGGAUAACAGG